rnacentral:lncRNA from 1 species
CUCACAUAUAUUGCCAGCCCUCUCCCUGCCCAGAACUCUUGUGACUGGCCCUAAGGCAGAUCAGGUGUUUAUUCCAUAUCCUUGAUGACAAAGAAACUGUGAUCGUGUUCUGGGGAAUGUCCCUUUUCCCAUUCAAGUGUAUGAUCAUAUUUUCAAGCAAUCACGUUUACAUUCAGCCUGGAAACUUUCUGCCCAGUUCUUAAGUUCUACUGCCAGCAGCUUGGAUACUACAGAAUGCUGAUUUAGCUCAUAGGAUGCAUUGAACCACUUUGCCAUGGUAACCAGCAGACAGACCUGAGAGAAGCAAGGCUGCAGAGAAACUGUAGCCAUCACCAAACAACAAAUCAAAGGGAAGUGUCUCAGGAGAGAUUUCUAAUUAUCAUACAUUUGUCCUUGCAGCCAAACCAGGAUGCAGUGGAAAUGGUGCCUUUGGCACUAGCAUCUUAGGUCACAAAAUCAGUUGUCUUGAAAUUCUUACUAACUUUUGAACGUGGAACCCUACAUCUUCGUUUUGUACUGGUCCCCACAUAUUUUAUAGCUGAUCUGAAGGAGGAGAGAGAGAUGAUGGGGGAUGAAGGGUAUGGAAUUGUAUGCUAUGGCUGCCUGCUGUCGAAGUUCUCCAGGUCCAGAGAGGAUUUAAGUUGCUGGAAUAAUCCACCCAGUCUUCGAGAUGUGAUUAUAUAAUUGAUGGUAUGUGGAUAUCACUGAUCACAAAACACAAUAAAGGACCUAAGGCAACAUCUUUGUUCUUUCUCAAUGUGGGGAAAAUGUUUUUGUUCUACUUGGUAAGUGGCCUCUGCAGUGUCUCUUGGAGACCUCAAUAAAUG